AAUAAGAGGUGGGAGGCAGCCUCACAAGUUAGCAAUGCAGGGAAUGUUACAAGGAGUUAGCUUCAGUAUGAAAAAAACAUUUGUUUAGAGGCAUGGGAUAGAAUCACUGAAAUGCUGAGACAACUGUUCCUUCUCCUCCCUUGAGCUAAGACCCUGAAAGCUGAACCAGUACCAUCUCCUUGGAGCACCUUCUGAGGGUCCCUCUAGCCUACAAAGUGUAGUCAAGUGGAAUUUGUGCGCUUUCCUGAUUCAGGCCCAAUCCAGUCUUCCUAUGCCAGCCACAGAGCAGUCCCAUACUCCCUUCUGCUCAAUCCUACCCUGCCUCUUCUGCCUGUGAGUAUCCUAUUCACUUGGCUUGGAUUACCUUUCUUGCUCAUCUGCAGUAGACUUUACCAAUGCUCCCUGCUAUCUGGAUCUCUUCCACGUUCAGAGCAGCUGUGUCUCAUAAGAUGUUAAUACUGCAGAUGUCCUGAGAAGUAUGUGUCUUCCAUGGUCAAAAGCGUACAGGUAGCAGACCAGCAAGUUAACUACAUAAUCACAUCUCUCAGUAGAACGUGACUACCAUUCCUGCAAGAACCUUAAACAAACACUUAUCACCAUCAAGAUGCCUAUUCUGGCAGAAGCCCAUUCCUCCAUCUGCAUGGAUGAUCAGAACAGAAAACAAUCCGGGAAUAUGUUGCUGUUUAGAAUUGGUUGUUGUGAGGACAAACCGAAGUGAUUCAUAAAGCACUGUACAAAUUCAGAGUAUCACAGUGAUGACUGAACACUCUGGAUUCAGGAAAUCCUUCAGCUGGAAGUCUUGCUAGGACAGAGGUAUGUGCUGUAUUGCUCCCUGAGAGGAAACCUGAUGUAAAACAAACUCAGCCUCAAGGCUGAUGUGCCUCUGAAUCUCCCCUCAGAGCAGCUAACGGCUCUAGAACUAAUAAGGUCCCAGUGGACUUUUUCUUUAAAGAAGCUUUUAAUGUUACCAGGAACUGACAGCAACGCUGUCCACAUCAAUCCCACUCAGACCCCAGCCUCUGGAAGACAUGACCUUAGAAACUCUGCAGAACUUUUCUGUCACGUUCCACCUAUGUCAACAUUCAUGCCACCCACUGUCCCAUGUCGAGUUCUAAGAAGUUAAGAUCUGUACCUGUUAAAAUGGACUUCUAGAUUUCCAAAAAAGAGUUUCAUGGGACUGUGGGCAUUUCACAUAGUUAGGCUAUCCACGGGCCUGGCCUUUCCAGAAAUGGUCAACUUCAUGUAAUCUUCUUAUCCAUAAAGGCAAAGAUUAAUUAAAUGUGUAACUAAAUAUAAUUAAUUUUUAUAACUCUCUUACAUAUUUAUUUAAAUAAACCCAUAAAUCAGAAAUGACGUUUUUUUUCCUCAGACUGAUCUUCUUGAGACUUGAUUUUUUUACUUGGAAAAUAUAGUUACUGUAAAUACUAUAAACUCUGGUUAACCAGCAUGUUCAGAGAAUAUAAAGCUGUAGUAACCUUUAAAUGCAAAGGAAGAGGAGGAGGAGGAGGAGGAGGAGGAAGAAAAGGAAGAGGAGGAGGAAGAGUGAUAAUUAAUAUCAAAUACAUUAAUACAAGCAGGUUUUAUUAACUGUACUUUUAACAGAUGAUGAAACACAUUCAGAGAGACCCAACAGCAAGUAAAUUACAAUGCCAGAAUUAGAACCCAAAUUUGGCUCACUCAGAGGCGCUCAAUCUCUGCUUCAUUCAGGUCUCUGCUCAAACAUUACCUCCUUACAGAGGCCUUCCUUGACCACACGAUUGAAAAUGUCCCAGCUGUCAGCCUGGCUCCCUCCUUCCCUGCCAUCAACUUGCUGUCUUUUUCAGUCCCCUUACCUGGCUUUAGUUUCCUUCAUAGUACUUAGCUGUAUGUUUGUUUAAAAACAUGUCUCCUGUUUGAUAGAAUGCAAGUUAAGCAGGGAUUUUAAAUUAUUCACUGCUUUAUCUCUAAUGCCUAGAAUAGUGUCUGAGACAUAAUUGGUACUAAAUGAACAAACGAAUAAAAGACCCUAAAAUGCAUGCAUUUUUCAUUACGUCUCACUGAAAGGGAACAGUAAGAAAGCGGAUACAUAUAUACACUGCAUUAUGUCAUAAUUCUUUCAUGAUCUGGGUGGUAUGAUUAUAGAAUAAAGGUUCAAAUUGAUUGUGGAGAUCACUCAUUAAUAUUUCUACUAAGGGAAAAGAGUAGCUGUCUCCUAGAAACUGAAGGAACCCUUUACAACUGUAGCAGUGUGCUCUUUUUCACACUCACAAUCUCUCCUUCCUAUCAACUCUGACAUAAGAAUACACAGGACUCUUUUCACGACAAGUCCAAGAAUUUGGUUAGAUUAUUUUUGCCAUAUAAAGGACCAUUUAAUACCAAAACAAACCUCCCACAUCAAACAGUUAAUUCCACAACCACGAAACCUCUUCUGACUCACCAAGAAAAGCCACAUCAACACAGGCACAAGGGAUUCAUUUAUUACACCAAAAGAGUCUCUUCAGUACUUCUUAAGUAACUAUAAUUUUUGGUCAUUUAAAUAAUUUUGCAUUUAAUGUAGGCUCUACUUCCAGAUUUUUCUGAAACUGAUGGAAGACAUACCUAAUAAAAAUGCAUUUCAAGAAAAAGAAACAGAUUAUGAACAUCUCGUUUCAUCUGGGUUUAUGUGAGACUUAACAUUCACUAUUCUUACUAGACAUUCUCCCUGGGAAGGUAAAACUUUUUUAAAAAGUAAUGCCUCCAAGGUACAUCGUGAAGGCAGACAUCUGCUUUAUUCAGGCAAAGUAAGUGCCCAGUAAGUGUUGGCUCACCAGAUCAUGUAUGUCUUUCACAUAGCAAAUAUUCCGAGUUCUAAGUCACAAAUCGAAUACUCAACAAUUCCGCCUAGAAUAGAGGAGUAACCAUGUCUGUGGGAGGGGGAAGGGUUGGGAAGAGAUCUGUUCUUCUUCCUGAUACCCAUGAGCAGAAUACUGUCACACAGACCUAUUUUGUGUUUUUAUAAUUACCCAAAUUCUCUUCUUUUGUCAGAAUUCAUUCUCAGUAACAGCUUGAGCAAUGUAGCAAUCGUGCUCUGAAAUGACUUGUAAACCACAGACACAAAUAUUUGGGCCAAGAAUGUGGAAUCCAUUGCUGUCACAUUCCAUUAUUUCUGGUGGAGCAAUUCACUAACAUUUUGGAAUCUAGAUCAUAAAUUAUGCAGAGCCUCAGCAAAAGAGCUGAGGAAACAAACUGCUGUAAUAAAACUCCUGUUACUGGAGCCAUAAAAACAGAACAAAGGAAAGGCAAAGAAGAAAAAUAGUGGUUGGACUUUUCUGACAUGCCUUGUCCACCAUUGUUACUGGUUUCAAAAAUGAUAAUGUAACAAUCGGAAAACCAUCAGGCAAGCCAAAAAUGAUACAAUAGGCAUACUGUCAUUCAUAAACAUCACCACCACCAUGAGAGUCCCCAGAAUAAAAUUAGCUUUUUGAAGAAUGCCUGAAUGUUGACAUAAAUUAAAGUGCCUAAAUGUACAUACAACCAAGCCAUCUGUACAUUUUUCAUGACUCUCCAGGGGUGUGAAAUGUCCUUCAACAACAGCACUUGGAUAGUGGUCGCAUUUUCUGUUGGGACAUAUCAUAAAUGUCAGAGGGAGAAAGAGAUCUGUGUCACAUGUGAACUGAAGCAGGUCCCUUUCCCUCUCUGUGGAAACUGACUUAAUGGCAGAGCUGGGACUAAAACCCACAUCUCUUGACUCCCAAGAUAAGAAUGACUUUUAUUUUGCAGUAUGAUGCCUAGAGCAUGGUAGGGGCUCAAAAAUUACUUUGUGAACGGAAGAAUGACAGAAUGAAUGGAUAG
rnacentral:lncRNA from 10 species